GACGUUGCUUGCCUCGCGCCUAGCGCCAUAGCUUCUACGCUGCAGUGCAUCACGCCUCCUGUCCCUUCCUCCCUCCCUCCCUUACAUGUCGUGCUGGGCACCGGUGGCGCUGGUGUUCUCCAGGUUGGUUUCGGGCGCAUCCUUUCUGGUAGUCCCAACGCCAGCCCGGCCGGCGUCGUCCAGCCCAGCCAUCCCAAUACAGCAGCCACCUUCCGUCAGCCAGCCAUGGGCGCGACCGUCCACAGCGUUUACCGUCGGUUACGAGGUAACAUGUGAAUUCGCAACUUGCGCUACUGACUGCCUGCUCUCGUGCCGCCUGCAAGCCCACUCCGCCUUCCGCUCUGGUCUACGUACGCAUUAGUUCCGCAACACUCGUCAAUAACAGGACAGUACAGGGAUAAUCGCCCCUGGGCCCCGGCAAGUUCACGCUGGUAUCUGUUGCCCAGU
rnacentral:lncRNA from 1 species